GUUUAAUCUGCUAAUAUUAAAAAAAUCCCCAAAACUUAAUUGGAAAAAAAUAUCAUCUGGAUGUGUGCUUGGGGGAAAAAAAAAUCACAAACCUGAUGGUUAGCAGUCAAAAAAUCUAUGACUGAGUGCCAUAAAGAAGCAAUUUUAAAAGCAGUAGAGAACAGUAAGGCUGCCUGUAGGAUUACAGCUCACAGCUUUGGAAUUCACUCCUUUGGAAGGAAAUUGAAGCAGUCGAAAUGUUUUGGCUGAAAUUAAAAUUUGCCUGAGGCAGAAAAAAGGCACAUGAAGUUGCAGUCCAGAUGGCUAGAGCUUGGCAAAAUUAUAGGUAAGUAGGAAUAAGGUCUAAAGAUCAGAAGCAUUAGGCAACUGUAAUAAGCAGGGCUACCAG
rnacentral:lncRNA from 12 species